rnacentral:rRNA from 1 species
GACGAACGCUGGCGGCGUGCUUAACACAUGCAAGUCGAACGGAAAGGCCCUGCUUGCCGGGUACUCGAGUGGCGAACGGGUGAGUAACACGUGGGUGAUCUGCCCUGCACUUCGGGAUAAGCCUGGGCAACUGGGUCUAAUACCGGAUAGGAGCCAUUUUUAGUGUGAUGGUUGGAAAGUUUUUUCGGUGUAGGAUGAGCUCGCGGCCUAUCCGCUUGUUGGUGGGGUAAUGGCCUACCAAGGCGGCGACGGGUAGCCGGCCUGCGAGGGUGGACGGCCACAGUGGGUCCUAGAGGAGGCCCAGACUCCGACGGGACGGAGCAGGGGGGAAGAUUGAACAAGGGGCGCAAGCCGGAUGCAGAGGCGCCGCGGGGGGGAUGACGGCCUUCGGGGUGUAAACCCCUUUCGCUAGGGACGAAGCUUUUUGUGACGGUACCUAGAUAAGAAGCACCGGCUAACUACGUG